CUUCAACUUCAGAAGCUGUGGCAUCUGGCAAAGGAAUUGUUGAAGAGCACAUAUCAUUUGAAAACCAUUCGCAGUUUGGUAAAUUGAAGUCAGCAGCCAGAUAAUAGUGUGCAGAUGGAUAAUCUUCAGCUACUUUUUCCAGAGUUUCACAAAAUAUAGAAUAUUUGUCAAAUGUAGACUUCGGUGGAAAAUAUGCUGUUCCUAUAAUAAACUGAUUUGCACCUUCGGUCACCAAGACAAAAAGCUGUUCGAUUGUCCCGUUAA
rnacentral:lncRNA from 1 species